AUUGAACGCUGGCGGCAUGCUUUACACAUGCAAGUCGAACGGCAGCGGGGGCUUCGGCCUGCCGGCGAGUGGCGAACGGGUGAGUAAUGCAUCGGAACGUGCCCAUGUCGUGGGGGAUAACUACGCGAAAGCGUGGCUAAUAGCGCAUACGCCCUGAGCGGGAAAGCGGGGGACAUUUCGGGCCCUCGCGCGAUUGGAGCGGCCGAUGUCGGGAUAGAUAGUUGGUGGGGUCAAGGCUCACCAAGGCGACGAUCCGUAGCUGGACGGAGAGGAGGAACAGCCACACGGGAACUGCGACACGUCCCAGACUCCUACGGGAGGUAGCAGUUGGGAAUUUUGGACAAUGGGCUCAUGCCUGAUCCAGCCAUGCCGCGUGAGUGAAGAAGGCCUUCGGGUUGUAAAGCUCUUUCGGCCGGGAAGAAAUCGCAUUCUCUAAUAUAGGAUGUGAAUGACGGUACCGGACUAAGAAGCACCGGCUAACUACGUGCCAGCAGCCACCGUAAUAC
rnacentral:rRNA from 1 species